rnacentral:misc_RNA from 1 species
GCAAACUUGGUCAUUUAGAGGAAGUAAAAGUCGUAACAAGGUUUCCGUAGGUGAACCUGCGGAAGGAUCAUUAAAAAAAAUUUUUUUGAACCAAUUUAUGGAUCAAAAAAUCCAUAAUCCACCUUGUGUGCUACUAUUGACCUUUGGGAGAUUUUUGAAGUCAUCUCCCAGAGGGCUCUCUAUAUACAAAUUUUUGACUUAAAAAUUUUUAUAUGUAAAAUAUAAUAAACAACUUUCAACAACGGAUCUCUUGGCUCUCGCAUCGAUGAAGAACGCAGC